GACGAACGCUGGCGGCGUGCCUAAUACAUGCAAGUCGAACGCUUUUUCUUUCACCGGAGCUUGCUCCACCGAAAGAAAAAGAGUGGCGAACGGGUGAGUAACACGUGGGUAACCUGCCCAUCAGAAGGGGAUAACACUUGGAAACAGGUGCUAAUACCGUAUAACACUACUUUCCGCAUGGAAGAAAGUUGAAAGGCGCUUUUGCGUCACUGAUGGAUGGACCCGGGGUGCAUUAGCUAGUUGGUGAGGUAACGGCUCACCAAGGCAACGAUGCAUAGCCGACCUGAGAGGGUGAUCGGCCACAAUGGGACUGAGACACGGCCCAGACUCCUACGGGAGGCAGCAGUAGGGAAUCUUCGGCAAUGGACGAAAGUCUGACCGAGCAACGCCGCGUGAGUGAAGAAGGUUUUCGGAUCGUGAAACUCUGUUGUUAGAGAAGAACAAGGAUGAGAGUAAAACGUUCAUCCCUUGACGGUAUCUAACCAGAAAGCCACGGCUAACUACGUGCCAGCAGCCGCGGUAA
rnacentral:rRNA from 1 species